CCUACGGGAGGCAGCAGUAGGGAAUCUUGCGCAAUGGGCGAAAGCCUGACGCAGCAACGCCGCGUGAUCGAGACGCCCUUCGGGGUGUAAAGAUCUGUCAGUGGGGACGAAACUUGACGGUACCCUGAAAACAAGCCACGGCUAACUACGUCCCAGCAGCCGCGGUAAUACGUAGGUGGCAAGCGUUGUCCGGAUUUACUGGGUGUAAAGGGCGUGUAGCCGGGAAGGCAAGUCAGAUGUGAAAUCUGGAGGCUCAACCUCCAAAUUGCAUUUGAAACUGUUUUUCUUGAGUACGGGAGAGGCAGACGGAAUUCCUUGUGUAGCGGUGAAAUGCGUAGAUAUAAGGAGGAACACCAGUGGCGAAGGCGGUCUGCUGGACAGCAACUGACGGUGAGGCGCGAAAGCGUGGGGAGCAAACAGGAUUAGAUACCCGGGUAGUC
rnacentral:rRNA from 1 species